UUCCUUCCGGUCAAAGAGGUUCUGUAAACCCUUUGACCGGAAGGAUUCCUUCUGGUCAAAGAGGUUUUGCAACCUCUUUGACUGGCCUUCCAGUUGAAGAGGUUACAAAACCUCUUUGACCAGAAGGAUUCCUUCCAGUUCAAAGAGGUUACAAAACCUCUUUGACUGGAAGGAA
rnacentral:miRNA from 1 species